AGAGAAAGACAAAGACAGCUUUCAUGCCUAAAAUAGGACUAAAACUCAUGGUCUCCUGGUUUCUAGCCUGAUCAGAAUGGGUUCCUUUAAAUAUAGCCCUCCAAUUUUGUUGGACUGCAGCUUUCACCACUAUUCAAGACUGCUAAUGCUGAAUAGGGCUGAUGAGCACCAAAAUUCAACAGGUUAGAGAUCUGCUGUAGAUUAUAGCAUCCGUCAUCCAGUACUACCCUGUAAUCCUAUUGUGACACUAAUUAAGCUUCUGUAUAAAUGUUUUAUUUGCAUCUCUGGCCACAUCUAAAGCUGCAGAAACAGAAUGCAAGAAACAAGCACAUGUAAAUCUAUGGCUUAACUAAAUUUUGUGUUGUGUCUCUUCAUAUGUACAUAAAAGCAGAACGAAUAGA